rnacentral:rRNA from 1 species
CCAUGCAUGUCUCAGUACAUGCCGAAUUAAGGUGAAACCGCGAAUGGCUCAUUAAAUCAGUUAUGGUUCAUUAGAUCGUGGACACAUUUACUUGGAUAACUGUGGUAAUUCUAGAGCUAAUACAUGCAAACAGAAUUCCUCUCAGAGAUGGGAGGAAUGCUUUUAUUAGAUCAAAACCAAUCGGUGGCGGACGGCUCGUCCGUUCGUCCAUCGUUUGUUUUGGUGACUCUGAAUAACUUUGUGCUGAUCGCAUGGUCAUCUAGCACCGGCGACGCAUCUUUCAAAUGUCUGCCUUAUCAACUGUCGAUGGUAGGUUCUGCGCCUACCAUGGUUGUAACGGGUAACGGGGAAUCAGGGUUCGAUUCCGGAGAGGGAGCCUGAGAAACAGCUACCACAUCCAAGGAAGGCAGCAGGCGCGCAAAUUACCCACUCCCGGCACGGGGAGGUAGUGACGAAAAAUAACGAUACGGGACUCAUCCGAGGCCCCGUAAUCGGAAUGAGUACACUUUAAAUCCUUUAACGAGGACCAAUUGGAGGGCAAGUCUGGUGCCAGCAGCCGCGGUAAUUCCAGCUCCAAUAGCGUAUAUUAAAGUUGUUGCGGUUAAAAAGCUCGUAGUUGAAUCUGUGUGUCACAGUGUCGGUUCACCGCUCGCGGUGUUUAACUGGCAUUAUGUGGUACGUCCUAUCGGUGGGCUUAGCUCCUUGCGGGCGGUCCAACUAAUAUCCCAUCGCGGUGCUCUUCACUGAGUGUCGAGGUGGGCCGAUACGUUUACUUUGAAAAAAUUAGAGUGCUUAAAGCAGGCUACCUUUGCCUGAAUACUGUGUGCAUGGAAUAAUGGAAUAGGACCUCGGUUCUAUUUUGUUGGUUUUCGGAACCCCGAGGUAAUGAUUAAUAGGGACAGAUGGGGGCAUUCGUAUUGCGACGUUAGAGGUGAAAUUCUUGGAUCGUCGCAAGACGGACAGAAGCGAAAGCAUUUGCCAAAAAUGUUUUCAUUAAUCAAGAACGAAAGUUAGAGGUU